rnacentral:tRNA from 1 species
AGGCGGUUAGUCCAAUGAAAGAUUGCUGAUUUCGGCUCAGUAGAACAUGGUUCAAGCCCAUGACCGCCUU